UACAGAGGUCUCAAGCGUUGUUCGGAUUCAUUGGGCGUAAAGGGUGCGUAGGUGGCGCCGUAAGUCAGGUGUGAAAUUUCGGAGCUUAACUCCGAAACUGCAUUUGAUACUGCGGUGCUUGAGGACUGGAGAGGAGACUGGAAUUUACGGUGUAGCAGUGAAAUGCGUAGAGAUCGUAAGGAAGACCAGUGGCGAAGGCGGUUCUCUGGGACGGUACUGACGCUGAGACGCGAAAGCGUGGGGAGCGAACAGG
rnacentral:rRNA from 1 species